GGAUAGUAAUAAAACACGGGGAGCAAACGGCAAAAGCAUUAAGCGAGCAAGCUCCCUAUUUCACCAUCUGUUCCUCCGGCCAAUCCUUCACUGAAAUCAACCGCUAAGAGGCAUCUCCGACGCCGUUAUCGUGCCCCAUCGGCUAUUCCUAAUUGUAUGUCUUAUCUCAAAUUCAUCUACAACUUUUCUCGAUAGUGAUUGAUUCUUUCCUCUCAGAAUUUCCAGGUUUUAAGUCUAAUUAUAAUGAGGAGAGUUUGUGCAUAUUUAUUUUCUCCCAAAAGAAAUCAUCUUCUUUCUUCUUCUUCUUCUUU
rnacentral:misc_RNA from 1 species